rnacentral:rRNA from 1 species
AUAUCAAUAAGCGGAGGAAAAGAAACCAACAGGGAUUGCCCCAGUAACGGCGAGUGAAGCGGCAACAGCUCAAAUUUGAAAUCUGGCCCCUCCGGGUCCGAGUUGUAAUUUGUAGAGGAUGCUUUUGGUGAGGUGCCGCCCGAGUUCCCUGGAACGGGACGCCACAGAGGGUGAGAGCCCCGUCUGGCUGGCCACCGAGCCUCUGUAAAGCUCCUUCGACGAGUCGAGUAGUUUGGGAAUGCUGCUCAAAAUGGGAGGUAUAUGUCUUCUAAAGCUAAAUAUUGGCCAGAGACCGAUAGCGCACAAGUAGAGUGAUCGAAAGAUGAAAAGCACCUUGAAAAGAGGGUUAAACAGUACGUGAAAUUGUUGAAAGGGAAGCGCUUGUGACCAGACUUGGGCGCGGCGGAUCAUCCGGGGUUCUCUCCGGUGCACUUCGCCGCGUUCAGGCCAGCAUCAGUUCGUCGCGGGGGAAAAAGGCUUCGGGAACGUGGCUCCUCCGGGAGUGUUAUAGCCCGUUGCAUAAUACCCUGCGGUGGACUGAGGACCGCGCAUCUGCAAGGAUGCUGGCGUAAUGGUCACCAGCGAC